rnacentral:lncRNA from 1 species
CUAUGUGAAAAAAACUAAACAACCCAAUACCUUACUCUAUUCUCUCUUUUGAUGCAAAAAUAGGGCAAAUAGAUCCGACCCAUAACCUCUAUUUUCAAGCAAGUUACAGACAUCAAACUUAAAUUGCUAGUAUCAAACUAAUUACCGAUUCCAAUCAAUCUCUUUCGAGCAUCAGUCGGAGAUCAGAAAUAGGAAUUAAGUUUGCAACUUCAACCUAUAAGUUAACCACAUGCUAAUUAGCCUAAAUCAAUCUAUGAAC